CACGUAGGGGGCAAGCGUUGUCCGGAUUUAUUGGGCGUAAAGAGCUCGUAGGCGGUUCGGUAAGUCGGGUGUGAAACCUCCAGGCUCAACCUGGAGAUGCCACCUGAUACUGCUGUGACUCGAGUCCGGUAGGGGAGCGUGGAAUUCCUGGUGUAGCGGCGAAAUGCGCAGAUAUCAGGAGGAACACCAGCGGCGAAGGCGGCGCUCUGGGCCGGAACUGACGCUGAGGAGCGAAAGCGUGGGUAGCAAACAGG
rnacentral:rRNA from 1 species